GGGCACAUGGUGUAGUUGGUUAUCACGCCCGCUUUGCAUCCCAUUGGCUGAGAUUGACAUGCGGGUGGUCCUCGGUUCAAUUCCGGGUGUGUCCA